rnacentral:lncRNA from 1 species
GGGGCCAUGCCAAAAAAUAGAAAAAGCUCAACAAUAAAAGAGUAAAGGGGAGUUUAAGAUUGGCCCCGAAUGACUCCUCGUACAAAGCAAACUGACCAGGAGGGGGAUUACAGAUCCUACUACUCGAAGGAUCUCUAGAUCAAAUUUGGACGGGAUGCCAAACUGGGCUCUGAGCAUGCUAAGAUCAUCUGAGUCUAGUGAAGAAUAGUAUUUUUUGGAUAUGAAAUCCUCAUCCUUAUGCCCAAUACCCGAAUCCCUUGGGUCACCCCUUAAAAG